rnacentral:lncRNA from 1 species
CUUUGGUUCUCAUCAUCAGAAGAAGAGGAGGAGGAGGAGGAAGGUCUGGACGACACCAAAAAUAAGCAGCCACAGAUAUUCUCUGAGGCUCAUCCGCAGAUGCUCAUAUCUCAAUCAUCUGGAGGGAAACAUUAUAGAGCAAAGGAGAAAGCAGUCGGACAUGACCAUGAUGUGGGAUCAAUCUGUUCUCACUCGAGGCGAUCACGAAAGUCUAAUCCAGUUACGCAAGAGAAUGCAGGAGAAGAGGAUGCACAAGAGGAACCAGCGUCCUACAGGGGUAYGAGAAACAAACCAUAGGUGUCCUARUGUGGUCCCU